ensembl:snoRNA
GUCUUUUUGCAGUUCAUAAGCAAGAUGAGUGGGUGUUCAUGCCCGUGUGUGAGAUGUGCCUCCCUCAAACCUUGUUAAGAUGUCAGCACAUUAGCUGUCUGACA